rnacentral:misc_RNA from 1 species
UUAAAUCAUUGCAUCAUACUCAGACAACAUAAUAACAGAAUUAUAGGGUUCUCUGGCAGGCACAGACCAGCUAGAGCCAGUGGUCAAGUGACAGGCCUGCCAAAGCAACAAAGGUAUUGUAAACAAAGGAUGGGAGAUAUACCCCAAGGGGCAUGUUCUCUGUAAUGAUCCUUCCGCAGGUUCACCUACGGAAA